AGUUUGAUCCUGGCUCAGGACGAACGCUGGCGGCGUGCUUAACACAUGCAAGUCGAACGAGAAGAGAUAAGAAGCUUGCUUCUUAUCGAUUCGAGUGGCAAAUGGGUGGUAACCCGUCACACCCUCCCCUAGAAGGGGGCAAAAAGGGAAACCGUUCUUAUACCAAUAUUCUCCUUUUUUGCCAAGCAAAAGGAAAAAAGGGGGUUCUUUUGACCUUUCCGGGGAGGGGGGCCUUCCUUUUAUUAAGUUGGGUGGGGGGGCCACCCCCCCACAAAGGGGAAGGACCAUUCCCGGUUUGAGGAGAUAACCGCCCCCAUUGGGGAUUGAACCCCGGCCCAAGUUUCUUAGGGGGACCACCAGGUGGGAAUUCUCCCCAAAGGAAAAAAUUUUGACGGAACAACCCCCGGUUAAACGAUGCCGGCCUUUCGGGUUGAAAAGUUCUGUUUAUCGGGGAAGAAUGGUACGACGGCCCAAUCCCCGUCGUAAGUGACGGUACCGUAAGAGAAAGCCACGGCUAAAUUACGUGCCAGCAGCCGCGGUAAUACGUAGGUGGCAAGCGUUGUCCGGAAUUAUUGGGCGUAAAGGGCGCGCAGGCGGCGUCGUAAGUCGGUCUUAAAAGUGCGGGGCUUAACCCCGUGAGGGGACCGAAACUGCGAUGCUAGAGUAUCGGAGAGGAAAGCGGAAUUCCUAGUGUAGCGGUGAAAUGCGUAGAUAUUAGGAGGAACACCAGUGGCGAAAGCGGCUUUCUGGACGACAACUGACGCUGAGGCGCGAAAGCCAGGGGAGCAAACGGGAUUAGAUACCCCGGUAGUCCUGGCCGUAAACGAUGGAUACUAGGUGUAGGAGGUAUCGACCCCUUCUGUGCCGGAGUUAACGCAAUAAGUAUCCCGCCUGGGGAGUACGGCCGCAAGGCUGAAACUCAAAGGAAUUGACGGGGGCCCGCACAAGCGGUGGAGUAUGUGGUUUAAUUCGACGCAACGCGAAGAACCUUACCAAGCCUUGACAUUGAUUGCUAAGGGUAGAGAUACCCUGUUCCUCUUCGGAGGACAAGAAAACAGGUGGUGCACGGCUGUCGUCAGCUCGUGUCGUGAGAUGUUGGGUUAAGUCCCGCAACGAGCGCAACCCCUAUCUUCUGUUACCAGCGAGUUAAGUCGGGGACUCAGGAGAGACUGCCGCAGACAAUGCGGAGGAAGGCGGGGAUGACGUCAAGUCAUCAUGCCCCUUAUGGCUUGGGCUACACACGUACUACAAUGGCUCUUAAUAGAGGGAAGCGAAGGAGCGAUCCGGAGCAAACCCCAAAAACAGAGUCCCAGUUCGGAUUGCAGGCUGCAACCCGCCUGCAUGAAGCAGGAAUCGCUAGUAAUCGCAGGUCAGCAUACUGCGGUGAAUACGUUCCCGGGCCUUGUACACACCGCCCGUC
rnacentral:rRNA from 1 species